GCUCUGGUUGAGUGGUCCGCCAAUAGGUUGGUACUGCUUCGACUGGGGCUCUCCUUCUGGUGAGCCGUCAUGCUCUUAACUGGGUGUGGCGAGGAACCAGGACUUUUACCUUGAAAAAAUUAGAGUGUUUAAAGCAGGCGCACGCUUGAAUACAUUAGCAUGGAAUAAUAAUUUAGGACUUUGCUCCUAUUUUAUUGGUUUCUAGGGGUGAAGUA
rnacentral:rRNA from 1 species